rnacentral:rRNA from 1 species
UACGAAGGGGGGCUAGCGUUGUUCGGAAUUACUGGGCGUAAAGUGUGCGCAGGCGGCGCCGCAAGUCGAGUGUGAAAGCCCCGGGCUUAACUUGGGAAUUGCGCUCGAAACUAUGGUGCUGGAGUGUGGCAGAGGAAGGUGGAAUUCCACGUGUAGCGGUGAAAUGCGUAGAGAUGUGGAGGAACACCGAUGGCGAAGGCAGCCCCCCUGGGUUAACACUGACGCUCAUGCACGAAAGCGUGGGGAGCAAACAGG